rnacentral:rRNA from 1 species
GAUGAACGCUAGCGGCAGGCCUAACACAUGCAAGUCGAGGGAGGAGCUUUCGGGCUUCGACCGGCGUACGGGUGCGUAACGCGUAUACAAUCUGCCUUUCACAUAGGGAUAGCCCGAAGAAAUUUGGAUUAAUACCUAAUGGUAUAUAGGAGUGGCAUCACCUUUAUAUUAAAGCUGAGGCGGUGAAAGCUGAGUCUGCGUUCUAUUAGCUAGUUGGAGAGGUAACGGCUCCCCAAGGCGACGAUAGAUAGGGGUUCUGAGAGGGAUAUCCCCCACACUGGUACUGAGAUACGGACCAGACUCCUACGGGAGGCAGCAGUGAGGAAUAGUGGACAAUGGUCGGAAGACUGAUCCAGCCAUGCCGCGUGCAGGAAGACGGCCUUAUGGGUUGUAAACUGCUUUUGCAGGAGAAGAAUAAGGAGUACGUGUACUUUGAUGACGGUACUCUGCGAAUAAGCAUCGGCUAACUCCGUG